AUGUUGAACAAUCCUACUGCUAGCUUCGGCGCAGAAUGCAGGAAAACUUUAGAACCUCGACUUGCACCCGCUACCGGGGGAGAUCCCAUUUGGAGACUCAAAGAUGAAAAAUAUUCCUCUAUAGGAAAGCCAACAUACCCUCUGUCCCGUAAAUUGAUUCAUGGGGACAUAUGUGGAGAUCUGAGACAGAGAUGGAAAAUAGAUUUGAGGGCUGAGAACAUAAUAGAGACUUAUCCCCCACUCCGCCCCAUUGACAUUCAAAGGGCAAAUUGA